UUGGUGACUCUUACAGAGGUGCUAGAAA
rnacentral:piRNA from 1 species